UACAGAGGUCUCAAGCGUUGUUCGGAUUCAUUGGGCGUAAAGGGUGCGUAGGCGGCGCGGUAAGUCGGGGUGUGAAAUCUCGGGGCUUAACUCCGAAACUGCAUUCGAUACUGCCGUGCUUGAGGACUGGAGAGGAGACUGGAAUUUACGGUGUAGCGGUGAAAUGCGUAGAUAUCGUAAGGGAAGACCAGUGGCGAAGGCGGGUCUCUGGACAGUUCCUGACGCUGAGGCACGAAGGUCAGGGGGGAGCAAACGGGG
rnacentral:rRNA from 1 species